rnacentral:rRNA from 1 species
UACAGAGGGUGCAAGCGUUGUUCGGAAUUAUUGGGCGUAAAGGGCGCGUAGGCGGUUCGGCAAGUCUCUAGUGAAAUCUCUGGGCUCAACUCAGAGUCUGCUGGGGAAACUGCCGGGCUUGAGUGUGGGAGAGGAGAGUGGAAUUCCCGGUGUAGCGGUGAAAUGCGUAGAUAUCAGGAAGAACACCAACGGCGAAGGCAGCUCGCUAGGACGGAACUGACGCUGAGG